UUGUAGGAGGUGCUGUAAUCAGAGGAGUUUGCUGAUGAAAUUCUAGGUGGCAAGGAGCUUCAGUAAGUCCAAGAGAAAAAUCUGACUGGCACACAGAAUCAAAGGACUGUGUUAAUUCCAAGAGCACGUCCCAAUAAAUGCCCACAUGCCAAUCUCUGAUUCCAUCUGCUUUCCACAGAAUCCAACCUGCACCUGCAGACAGAGAGGAUUUGGACAGGGGUUAUAGCUACUCUUACAGAAGACAUAAGAAGAUAUAUACGCAGAGAAGACAUCAUAAGACCUGAAGAUGAAAAACUUCUGAUCACAGAAGAAAGAUAUACAACAGCCUUGAAGCAUUCUGAGAACCCAGUGAAGGCAAUAAUGUCUCUUCCCAGAGAAAUUCACAGAUCUGGGCUACAUUUUGCCAAGGAGAGGAACAUCUGUGGAGUCUGGAAAGUGGAAGUAAAUCGGAAGCUUUAUUCUCUGGAGGUGGUGGCUGCCAGAUGAACAUGCACAUUUCAGGUGUUCCUCAAGUCCCUGAAGACAGAGAGAAUUGCUCCCUCUCACUAAUAUGUGGGCUGAGAGUAUUUUAAAUGGCUGGAGUUUGGAGGAGGCACUGAAACAGUAACGUCUGACUCCUAUUUCACUCAAUUUUUGACAAGACUUGGGAUGAGAAUGAAGAAGAGUGAUAACAAUUGAAGAGAAUUUUAUUCGCUUUCAUUCUUUCACAGACACCUGCCCCAAUAGCACACACCCCAAAUGGACAAAGUUCAGCUCUGCUGAAGCCGGCACAUUAAAUGAGUGAAAUAUUUUUAGUAAGAGCAGUGGCCAAGUACAAUGACAAUUCGAUUUUUUUUUCAAAUGACAACUCCCGCCUCUGGCAGCUCAUCUCUCUUUGCUGCCAUCUGGUGUCACCUCACAUGAACCUGACCUGGGUACAGAUGAAGGGACUAGAAUCCUUCAAUUCUAGGGUUCUCCAGAAAGGGACUGAGAGUUAAGCAAACCCAGUUCUGGAAAAUGAACAAAUAUGGAGAAUUGAAGCCCCAAAUUUGACACAUUGAGAUUUUGAGCAAUAAUAAAUGCCCGGGGUGUGGGCAGGGUUUGACCGUCAGUAGGCUGGCCUUGCCAUGCCGCCUGAAAUUAGAACUUUCUACAUGAUAACAUUUGGAUUAAUCAGAAGACAGAGGACUCACUAUCUUGAGCACCAAAUGGAGCACUUUUCAUUUUAAGGCCCUUAAGUUUUAUAUAGAUUUAUGUAGAUAUACAUAGAUUAUAGUAAGAAUAGAAAACACAUGUUAAGCAAUAUCUGUAUGCUAGGCUUUGUUGUAAGCCUUUCAUCUAUAUUAACUCGUUUAAUACAAAUACAACCAUGUAGGAAUGACACUAUUAUUAUCCCCGUAACAUGUAUGAAGAAACUGAGGCACAGAGAUGUUAAGUAAUUCCCCAAAGUUACAGACCUAGUAACUUGUUGAACCAGUAAGCAGGGUGUGAACCCAAGCAGAACCUGUAUUGUAUCCUACCAGACUACAAAUGUCUAAAGAUGAGUUUUCCCUCGUAUAUUUAUCCAGCUAGAUUUUAACAGGCAUCCCACCCUGCCACCGACACGAACGUGCAUUCACACACACACAGCAUGGCUUAUGGCUUGCUUGGUUGGUUAAGCCCUUCCCAAACUUACUUACUCAGUAGUCUUUUAUUUUCCCAGAAAACAUUCAGAGAUUGAUAUUCCACAUACUCUACUUUGGGAAAAGUACAGUUUAAAGACAACCUGCAGCACAGUUUAAAGACAACCUGCAGCACACCCAGAUAGGGAUAAAUCUACUCAGGACUUCAGUCAUAAAAGGCUGAUUACUUCAUCACUCCAUUCUGGUCUUGAUAAUAUUUCUAAAAGAUAACAAUAAAUAAAUUAAUAGUAAGUGAUAAUGUUAAUAUCUGUUUCAAGUGUUUUCUGUAUGCCACAUAUUAUUUUAAAUUUUUUUCUGUAUAUUUUAUUUAUGUCUCAUAAACUCAAGGAUGUAGGAACAUUAUUAUUCCCAUUUUUAAAAUAAUAACUUUUAAAUACAAAGAUGUUAAAUAACCAAAGUCUCCAAUAAUAACAAGUGGUGCCAAUAUUUUAAUCCAGUCAGAUUAACUUAGUUUAAAUUAAAAGUCAGAUUUUUGAAACUCACAUAAUUUCCUGGAGAGUUUUAAUUCAAGUCUUCAGACAAUGAAAGGACUAACUCAGAAUGACUAAACCUGCAUAGUGAGAUUACAAUGCUCUGCUUUUUAUGAAUGAACUAUUAAUACAAACACAUAGAGAAUGAACUUUUAAUACUAUGAGUAUUGUUCUGGCGUUAGCUUUUAAUCUCACUAUGUUAAUUAAGAGAUGAAUUCUCUAGCCAGGUAUAGCUAUGGGGAAACAUUACUGUCCUUGUCUUUUCUGAGUGAUGUUUUUUGUUUUGUGCUCUUUACUGUUGUUUGUAUUUUGUACAUUUGGGCCAAGUACACAUAAUUGAGGUCAUUGUACUCUUAAGUUCAUGGCAUGUUAUCACUUCGUCAUCAAAAUUCAUGCCAAGGAUGUUUUAUUUUAUUUUGCUUUGUUUUCACUUGUCCACCACCUUAAAUUCCACUCUUCUUCCCUCAUAAAGAUUCACUCUGGUGUAUAAGGUAUUUUGUUUGCUCAUUUGUUUUUGGAAAAAUGUGUGUCUUUGGCUGGUGUUGCUUUUUGCCUGGAAAAUGGCCCACCUCUGUUUUGUGAGCACAUGGCUCCCAGCUCUGUUUCAUCCUCCCUCUAUAGCAUCACCAUAUCUGACUUCCGAGAACUUUCUAAUCUGAGCCACUCUGGCUUUUGUUGAAAAGAUGUUUUAUUUCUAUUUGUUUAUUUCAUCUUAUUUGUGUUGUGGAUUGGCUGAGUUAGGUCUGAAAAUGUCCCUCUCAUUUUACUGGGCAACGGACUCCAUGGCAUGUGCACAUAACACAAUUUUAAAUGUUCCUUUUGUCUAUAUGUGCUCAAGGUUUACAUUUUUAACAAUUUUAUGCCCUUUUUUGUAGGUUGCAUACUUCUUGUCUUUUUUUAAAGAAACUUCACCUACAUUUUUUUGAAUAUACUACAUUCUCUUCAGCCUUAAGCAUCCACAUUGCUGUCCCAAAUAUCUGGAACACAUUUCUCCGCAUUUAUAUGUAUUGACUCUGCCUAUAAUUUUUUUCUAAUUUGGAGAAUGCAUAAGUUUGUAGAAUAAAUGAAUGAAUGAAUGACAAGGAGAAUUGUCAAAGGAGAGCAUGUGCUAUUCAAUCAGAUGAUCCCUUCUAAAUAUCACCGGCAAACAGCCUUGCCUGCCCUAUAUUCUGGUGCCAACUUAACUCAGUGAGACUGACAGAACGCCCAUGAGCUCUUUACCAAACAUCUGUCUUCACGGGUGUGUGCAACAUCUUCUGUGUGCUAAGAACCAGUUUCAAGUUCAGGAUUGAUUUUUCCAGCUUAGUGCAGAAGAUAAAUAAUGAACGAGAGUACAGUCAGGGUAAUCACACAUUUUAGAAUUAGAAAGAUGCUGCAACUACUUGAGAUUUGGUAUCUGAUAUCUGGAAAUAAUAUGCUGUUCAUAACAAGAGCAUCUAAUUGGAUAACAAUUUGAUAUUUAAUGGUGCAGCUCAUCCUGCUGUUAAUCCUCUCCUCUACAGUUCCUGUUCUAAUGAGGUUAGCACUAAAUCAGUAUGCUGGCUCCCCUAAUCUCUUGAGAAUCAACGAGUGGUCUUCAUCAUUAAGACUUCCACAAGGUAAUGAGAAAAUUUUCCUGAAUAUUUGAUUAAAAUACAAAUAAAACAAAUGGAACAAAUCAAUAUUUGCUGGUAACAGUACUGUAGAGGAUUUGAACAGUUCAUGGGCCUCACUCUCUCCUAUACGUUGUGAUUGCCUUGCUGAGAAUGGGGCUCUCUGCCCAUGUACAAGACUGGAGGAGCUCAAACCUGGACUAAGGAUCUCACACAAACUUUCUACCCUAUAAGAAAUUUGCUGGGAGUAAUGAUGAAUAGCACUCACAACACUCAUAACUCUGACACUCUACCUGCAACGAUUUAAACAUUUUUCAUAUUUUGACCCAUCUAAUUAUGAUAACAGUAUUGGGAAGGUGCUGUCAUUAUCCCCAAUGCAUUCAUUAAAGUAGGCCAGCUGACGUUAACAAAUAAACCCAAAUAUGGAAUGACUGGACCCCGUAGAAAUUUUACCCUUGUGAUAGGUUGAUGAUGGUUCAGCCACCUUUACCCUGUUGCUUCUAAAGUCAUCCUGGGUGUUGCCAUUUCAGUCAGUCAAGAGGAGGAAAGAGCAUGGAGGAAUAGGUAUUGGAGUUCUAUAUGGGCCAUGCAGUCAUCAGUUUUGCUGACAUACCCUUGGCUAAAACUCAGUCAUAUGGUCACACUGACUGCAAGAGAGGCUAAGAAAUAUAAUCUAGCUAUGUACCCAAAUAGAGAGAAAGUAUUUUUAUUAACAGCAACAGCUUGUUUAAUGCUACACUCAUUGUACAAAUAAAAAACCCAAGGCAGCCAGAUGUGAUGGCUCAUGCUUGUAAUCCUAGCACCUUGGGAGGCUGACGUGGGUGGAUCAUUUGUGCCCAGGAGUUCGAGACUAGCCUGAGCAACAGAGUGAGACCCUGUCUUUACAAAAAAUACCAAAAAAAUUGCCAGGCAUGGUGACAUAAGCCUGUAGUCCAAGCUGCUUGGGAGGCUGAGGUGGGAGGAUCUCUUGAGCUCAGGGAGGUUGACAGUGCAGUGAGCCCUGAUUAUACUCCAGAUUGGGCAACGAAAUUAAAUCUUAUCUCAAACAAACAACUUCAUCAACAACAACAACAAAGCAAACGAAAGACAAACAAAUCCCAAGGCAUAGGGAGCUUAUGUGUUUUGCCCAUAUUCACACAAAUAACAAGUGUGAAAGCUGAAAUUUGAAUUCAAACAGUUCACAUGCAGCCAUUUAGGCACUGGUUAAGAUUUGCAUGAAGUCUGAGAUUAGUCAUUGCAACCAUGCCUCCUCCUUCCACAUCAGACCCUAACCUAUGAACAGGUUGUGUUAAGUUUCUGUCUUCACUUACAUAUGCAUUCCCUCACUACUCUGUGCUUCCUCCCCCUUGCUCCUCUUAGUCUCCGCCCACCCCAUCAAUCAUUUCUAAUUUUUCCCCUGGAACAUUUGCCCCAGGGUAAGAAAUUUUAUACCCUCCAAAUUUUCAAAGAACAAUCUCUCCCUGUCUUUCCUCCUGGAGUCUGGCUCUUUCCUAUAGGCAGUUUACCCUGCAGCUCUUCCCCAGUGCAAGCUACUUAUUCACUCACUCCCCACCCAUCAAGGGGCCAAAAGAGUGGGUGUUCAGUCUUCUGCUUCUUACUGUUGCUUCCAGAUAAGCUUUAUUUUUUACUGACAAAUCACUAAAGUUCUCCCUUCCUUGUUUCUACUCUUAUUUUUUAAUCCUCUGGCCAUUUGGUUGCUCCUUUCUGCAGGGCUUUUGCGCCUGCCUACAGUCCUCCUCAUCCCAACCUCUACCUCAUUCUAACACAUUUCGUCAGGUAACAUUUAUGGCUCCUGAGCCUCAUGUUGCAAAUCGAUUCCAUUCAGGUGCCAUGGAGAGGACAGGUUCUCCCUCCCUUUACUCACCCAAUCCUUGCUUAUAGCUUGCGUCCAGGUGUGGCAGGCUGACAAUGCUAGGAUCCUGAUAUCUCCCAGCUCCUGUGUGUUUAUAGGACAGAGACGGCACACUGGAAGGGGCAAGCCAUGAAGACCAAGGGCUGUCACUCCCCUCUUGCUCAGCAGGAAAAGUGGGUCCUCACCCUUAGCUGUUAUGAAGUAGUACAGGGGCAUGUCUUAAGGGCAAAGGACAUAGUGAUUCUGCCUGAGGGCAUUACUUUAUUUGAAACAGGAUUUGGGGAACCCUAUGCUUAAAAGUAUUGGCAGAAACAAUGGAGAUGUUGGUGGAGAGCAGUUAAGAAGAAGCUGGUAGUUCUAUGCUAUGAGCAAAUGGCAAAGCAGCCUGAAGUUUAAUAGAGAAAGCCAGAAAAAGAGACAGCCAAUAAGAGCUCUCCUGGGAUCACAAUCAAAUCUUGGGUUCCAAGAGGCUGCGCACAUGCACUAGGCUGCAGCGACUCAGCCAAUCAGAGCAGAACAUGGGGCAGAUGAGCAGACCUCAAAGCCUUUCAUAAGCCACAAAGAGCCAUCAACAGAGGGGAGAAAUCUCACUGGCACUGGGAGCUUAAAGACAACUUCUGACCAAACACUGACCCAGGAGAGACUCCCAGAAAGUGGUGCUUAAAGAUAAAAUCACAUUCAUCCUUGGUAGUCUCGAAGAUUUUGUGUGUACCCAAGGCUAUCGCCUCUCAAAAGCAAUCAGGCAGGGAACCUCCAAGUUCCUAGUUCAUGGCUGAAUGUGGACCGAAUACAUAAAACCCCUGAACUGUGAUAGCAGCCUCAGGCCACACAUGAAUCCAAAGGUAAAAAACAAAAAUAUAACUGGCUAAUGGAACUCAAGCACAUUCUUUGACCAAGAAGUGGCUUGUGCUGACCCGAUGUGAAUGCCAAGUGGCCAGGCUAGAAGAUAAAAUCAAGGGAAAAAAAUAUCUGAGCAUAAAGACCAGAGGCAGAAAACUGCAGGGGAAAUAAACUCUGAAAGAUUAGUUCAGCCAAGUCACUAAGCAAAUAAACAAAAUGACAACUCAAAAAUUGGGGCAUUCAUAUCCAGAGUUGCUAUAAUGUAUCAUCUGAAAUGUAGAGUUUUCAACCAAGUAUUCUAAGUAGUAUAAAAAAUAGGAAAAUGCAAUCCAUGUAUGUGAAAAAACACAAACUGCUUUUGAAGGGGCCACAUGAGAUACCACUUCACACCCACUUGAAUGACUAUAAUUAGCAAAAUGGAAAAUAACAAGUGUUUUUAAGGAUGUAGAGAAAUUGUACGUUGCUGGUGGGAAUGUAAAACAGUGCAGAUCCUGUGAAAAACAGUUUGGUGGUCUCCCAACAAGUUAAACAGAGGAUUACCACAUAACUCAGCAAUUCCACUUCUAGAUCUACACUCCCCAAAAGGAACACAGGUAUUCAAGCAGAUAUUUGUACAUGAGUUUUCAUAAUAGCACUAUUCACAAUAGCCAAAAGGCAGAAACAACCUGAAUAUCUAUCUGGAUAACUGGAUAAACAAAAUGUGAUAUACACAAACCAUGAACUAUUUAUUACUCAGUCACAAAACAGGAGUGAAGUAUUUAUACAUGCAGCAAUGUGGAUGAACCUUGAAAAAAAUCAUACUAAGUAAAAGAAGCCAGACAAAAAUGGUCACCUAUUGGAUGACUCCAUUUGCAUAAAAUAUACAGAAUAGUUAAAUUCUUAGAUGCUAAAAGCAGAUUAGCAAUUGCCAGCAGAGAGUAGGAUGGGGAGUGAUUGCUUAAUAGGUACAGGGACUCCUUUGGGGGUGAUGACAAUGUUUUGGAACUAAAUAGAGGUGGUGGUUUUACAACAUUGUAACUAUAUAAAAUACCUCUGAAUUUUACAUUUUAAGAUGGUUAAUUUUCUAUUAUGUGAAUUUCACCUCAACAACAAAAACAUGAAUUAACUACUGAUAUGUUUUACACCAUGGAUAAAUCUUGAAACUAUUAUGCUAAGGGAAAGAAUCCUGUCACCAAUAAAACACAUAUUAUAUGAUUCCAUUUAUAUGAAAUGUCCAGAAUAGGCAAAUCUCUGGAAGUAAAAAGAUUAACAGGUACCUAGGGUCGUAGGCAUGGGAGGAGUGUGUCGGUGGGAACUGAGAGUGAUUGCUGGUGUGUAUAAGGUUUUUUUUGGCAGGGUGGGGAGUGGACCAAACUAUUCUAAAAUUGGAUUGUAACGAUAGUUUGACAAGGCUGUGAAUAUACUGAAAGCCCAGAAUUGUAUAACUUUAAAUAAGUGAGUUGUAUGGUAUGUAAAUGAUAGCUCAAUAAAGCUGCUUUAAAAAAGAAUCGAUAUAUUUGGGCUGUACUUGUCAAAAGCCAUGAAUUUAACAUAAACUGAGAGAGGAGUUAUAUGAAGCUGAAUGGAAACGAGAGGUGGGAAAUAUAUGAAAAAGAGCUUUUCUCUCUUCUCAUUUACACUGAAUAUUUUUUGUUAUAGCACUUAUCACCACCUGAUGCUUUGUAUAUUCAUUGUCUAUUUUCAAUCUCUCCCAACCGGAAUCUAAGUCCCAUGUCCUGCUGCAUCUCCAACACUAUGAACUGUGCCUGCUUUAUCAGUAAGAGCUGCCAUAAGGGUUUUAUGAUAGGGAUGCCAUAACAAAAAUACCCACAGACUGGAGGGCUUAAACAACAGAGAUUUUUUUCUCUCAUAGUUCUAGAGGCUGGGAAGUCCAUGAUCAAGGCACACAGGGUUGGGUUACUCUGUGGUCUCUCUUCUUGGCCUGCAGAAGUUCAUCCUCUCUGUAUGUCUUCAUGAGAUCUUCCCCUUGUGCCUAUCUGUGUUCAAACUCCCUCUUCUUAUAAGAACACAGGUCAGUUUGGAUUAAGGCCAAUGUCAGGCUUGUCCAACUCGCGGCCUGUGGGCCACAUGUAGCCCAGGACAGCUUUGAAUGCACCCUGACACAAAUUCAUAAACUUUCUUAAAACAUUAUUCAUGGACCUUUAUUUUUUUAAGCUCAUCAGCUAUCAUUAGUGUUAGUUUUAUGUGUGGCCCAAGACAAUUCUUCCAAGGUUGCCCAGGGAAGCCAAAAGAUUGGACACCUCUGGCCUAUGCAUUGGCCUAAUUUUAACUAAAUCACCUCUUUAAAGGCCCUAUCUCCAAAUAUAGUCCCAUUUUGAGGUACUGGGGGUUGGGGUUUAAACAAAUGAAUUUGAGGGGAAUGCAAUUCAGCACACAGAGUAAGCUUGUGAAUAUUUGCUAGAUGAAUAAAUAGCUACCAUGCCAACACACAGACUGGAAUAUUAUAUUGUAACAAAAUUAUGUGAAUAAAAAUGAUCACAGAUAUUUAUAAAUAGAAUAGAGUGUAAGUAAAACACCUCAAAAUGCUAACAACUGUGGUGAGAUUAUGGAUGAUUAUGGAAAGUAAUCUUCUUUUACUUUUUUCUGUUUUUGAACAUUUAUACAAUGUAUUAAGUUUUAUUUUGUUUUCCACAAAAAACAUCUGCUCAUUGAAGACAAUUUGGGAGACAGGAAAGAAUUAAAAGUGUAACUUAAUAAUUCUACCUCCUUUAUUCACUUUACCACACUUCAAAAAUUUAAAACUUUCAUACUGUUCCAUUUUUCUAUACACCUAUAUGUAUCUACAUUCUGUACAGUUUUAUACAGUUGGAGGUAAAUAUUCUUUGCUGUUUUAUAAUACGGUACAUUUUUAGCCCAAUAGUUAUACUUUUUCUCCAUGAUUUUUCUAAACAUUAUUUAACUGAUGAAUAAUAUCAAC
rnacentral:lncRNA from 10 species